UUACGGCCACAUCAUGUUCAAACGCCGGUUCCCGUACGAUCACCGAAGUUAAGCAACGUUGAAGCUGGUCAGUACCUAUAUGGGUGACGGCUUGGAAAUGUUAGGUGCUGUAAG